GGGAAUGAUUGAGUCCUUUCAUGAUUCUGCACUCCCAUACUUUAGAAGUGACUCAGUACUGGAGUGGGAACUUGAAAUGUAAUGCUUGAUGUAGCCUUAGAAAAAGAAAAAAAAAAGAUAUAUAGCAAGGUAUUUCUAGUAGUAUUCUCUGUUGUGGUUAAGAUGCUUUUAAAUUCAUUUUGACUUGAACAGCUACUAACCAGAUGUGGGUAGUCAACGUAUGAUACAUAGUUGGAAAGAUUAAGGAAUUGAAUGUUAAUUUACUUUUAUUUAAACCAAAAUAGCCAAUGGCUAGUCCAGGUCCAGUCUCAUUGCUCAGGUCAAAGGGUUUUGUUCAAAUUAUCCUGUCCUCAACUUUUAAAAACGUGCCUUUUUUUUUAAAGACCGAAUACUAUCAAUAAAAAGUAAACUCCUCUGUGUUCUUUUAAAACUGGAAUACCUUGGUUUGCCUAAGCAACUCUAAAGACUAGUUUAUCAAACCAAAUUGACUUGUGCACGCAGCAGUGCCUCAGGAGAGUUUGCAUCAUUUUGAGCACUUGUGUAUGUGGUCAAUGUCUAACAUCAAGUGUGGACCUAAAAGCAGGGCUGAGCAUGCGCAGUUACCAUAGUGAGGGAUAGAAGUGACUAGGCACUGACAGGCUUGCUUGAUGAAACAGUCUCUCGGAUUCCCUCCUCCCCAGCUGCCCCUGGAUGCUCAGUGGUCUCUAAGUUUAUCCCUCCCCCCCCACCUCCCCACCCCCGCAGCCAGCCCACCUCCCUUAUAAAAAAUUUCAGAUCGCAAAGGAAAAUCAGGGGCCUGGGCGAACACGCGAUAAGAAGUACCCUUUACAUACAUGCUAGACAUUUUCUAAGAUGGUCAGUAAAAAACAUAUCUGCACGAAUGGAUGCUAUCCGUGUGGCAAACAGAUGAGACCCAGGGAGGCUUGCUUGUAACGUACAAGUUUUACCUUUCACAACAGAUAUUGGUCCCAUACUACCUCAGAUGAGGGAGUUCACUGCAGCUUGGAGCAGUUCUCAAGUCUAUGCACACACCCACAACAUUCGGUCUCUUCCUCUUUUCUUACCGUUUGAGCCCCCUAGCUUUGUUUGCUCUUAACCUCUACACAGACCAAUAUAUUUACGCAAACAGAUGAAAACAUGUUGAUAGAACCUGCCUCCAGUCCCAUCCCCUUCUCUCCUAGGUUCCUUCAAAUCUAAUAAUAAUCUUUUGGGGCAGUGUCAAUUUACAUAAAUGGCUCCUUUAUUUUCUCAUGCUGUUCAGGAGAUGCAUUUUGGUAUUUUAGUGGCAUUAAAAAAAUAUCCCAUAGUAGAUAUUUUCCCAGAGCCUGGACGCUUAUAUAAAAGCGACAUGUCCAUUUAUAAAUUAAGCUUCAACGGGGUUUGCAUUUUUGUAAAUUUAUGUUGUUUCAAGGUGUAGGCAAUUGAUUUGUGUAUUAGCCAUUAUCACUACAGAUUACUUGUAAGACACGUUAAAAAAAACUAGCUCCGCCCCUGUCGCUUCCCCCUACCUCUCGAAAUCUAUGAUUCAGACUAGGUCUAAAGACAGAGGAGCAUUUGGAAAGGAUUUGGAGAUUAAAAAUACGAUUUUCAACACAAAGACCACAGCAGCGUUGGACAACGAGAACUAUUUAAAAUUUUAAAUAGUUUAAAAAUUUAAAACAUCACAUCUCCAGAAGUUGGAGGACGACAAAGUCCGAGUCGUCCAGUAAGCUUGCAGAGACUGAUCGCGGUUCUGCCCUGCAAAAACCCGGGCGGGCGACACAGACUCGUUGCGAGGAGUUUCAGCUGCAGAAGAGGAAGAGCAUCACCUGCAGUCCGAGGCGUGGGAAACGCUGCCGGACCCGGUAUUUCCGAAGCCCGGGAGGCGAGCGCCACGGGGGGCCCUGGCUGGCUGAUUCCGUGGUGAGUGCGAAGAAGCCAGCACUCGGCGGAGCCCCAAGACUCCGCGGGGAGGAAAGGGACGGACAUUUCUUCCUGGGACGGCUGCGGCCACGGAGAUCACUGCAACGGGGAAGCUGGAGGCAGCCUGGGCGUCCUUAGCUGCAACUGGCUGGGAGGCCGAAUGAAGUCGGAGAACCCGGUCAGCUCCGGGGAGUCGGGGGCGAGGCGGGGCUCUGACGUCACCUCCCCUCCCCCCAGCCGCUCCUAGAGGGAGGAGUAGGGAAAAGAAGCAGAGAGAUCCGCCGCAGUUGCCAGCCGUAACUCCUCAACUCGGCAGCUGGCUGCCUGGACAUGUCCUGACAAACUUGGCUUCCCCUCGGCGCUCUCCCCAGACCUCGUGCGCUCUCUCUCCACCUCUUUUGGUGCUCAAACUUUCCCCGGGUCGAGAGCCACAGAGAAGGCGCCCACCUGAGUCCCGCCAGCACUGGAGGAGGAUCGCGCUCUGCUUGGGGAUAUGCUGAAGAUCCAAGGGAGGCAAAGUUGGUACUUCGAGCCCGGAUCCUAACAAAUAUCCAAACGGCGUGGGAAUUACCCAACUGCCGGGGACUAGAAGGGAGAGCACCGAGGACCGGGCUACUGUGGUGGCCAGGAGUUAAAAAAUGGGGAGACACUUGACCUUGCUUCUGCUUCUGCUCCUCUUCCUCCAGCAGUUUGGAGACAGUGAUGGCAGCCAAAGACUUGAACCCACCCCUCCUAUCCAGUUUACACACUUCCAGUACAAUGUCACUGUGCACGAGAACUCGGCAGCGAAGACCUAUGUUGGCCACCCCAGAAAGAUGGGCAUCUACAUCUUAGACCCCUCGUGGGAGAUAAGGUACAAAAUCGUCUCAGGAGACAGCGAAAACCUGUUCAAAGCGGAAGAGUAUGUUCUCGGAGACUUCUGCUUUCUAAGGAUAAGAACCAAAGGAGGGAAUACCGCCAUCCUGAACAGAGAAGUGAGAGACCAUUACACGCUGAUCGUCAAGGCAGUGGAGAAAGCCACCGAUGCUGAGGCCCGAGCGAAGGUUCGGGUACAAGUGCUGGAUACAAACGACUUAAGGCCCUUAUUCUCCCCCACCUCCUACAGCGUCUCUUUGCCGGAAAACACAGCCAUAAGGACCAGCAUCGCAAGAGUCAGUGCCACGGAUGCGGACAUUGGGACCAAUGGCGAAUUUUACUACAGUUUUAAAGACAGAACUGACGUGUUUGCUAUCCACCCGACCAGCGGCGUCGUUGUUUUGACUGGCAGGCUUGAUUUCCUAGAGACCCAGCUCUAUGAGCUGGAGAUUCUGGCUGCGGACCGGGGGAUGAAGCUGUACGGUAGCAGUGGGGUCAGCAGCCUGGCCAAGCUGACAGUUCACGUGGAGCAGGCCAACGAGUGCGCGCCCAUCAUAACCGCGGUGACGUUGUCGCCCUCUGAGCUGGACAAGGACCCAACCUACGCCAUCAUCACCGUGGAGGACUGUGAUCAGGGUGCCAACGGGGAGAUAGCGUCUUUGAGCAUCGUGGCUGGCGACCUCCUUCAGCAGUUUAAAACAGUGAGGUCUUUCCCAGGGAGUAAAGCAUUCAAAGUGAAAGCCGUCGGGGCCGUCGACUGGGACAGCCAUCCUUACGGCUACAACCUGACAUUGCAGGCUAAAGACAAAGGGACUCCUCCCCAGUUUUCCCCCGUGAAAGUUGUUCACAUCAUUUCUCCACAGUUCAGAGCUGGCCCUGUCAAGUUUGAAAUGGAUGUUUACAGAGCCGAGAUCAGUGAGUUUGCCCCUCCACAUACACCCGUGGUCCUGGUCAAAGCCAUUCCUAGUUAUUCCCAUUUGAGGUAUGUUUUUAAAAGCGCUCCUGGAAAACCUAAAUUCGGUUUGAAUCACAACACGGGUCUCAUUUCCAUUUUAGAACCCAUUAGAAGGCAGCACACAUCCCAUUUUGAACUCGAGGUGACAACAAGUGACAAAAGAGCCUCCGCCCGAGUGGUGGUCAAAGUUUUAGGUACAAACAGCAACCCCCCUGAGUUUACACAGACCUCGUACAAAGCAUCCAUCGAUGAGAACGCGCCUAUCGGUGCCGCAGUCACGAGGGUGAGUGCGAUGGACCCCGACGAGGGGGAGAAUGGCUACGUGACUUACAGUAUUGCAAACUUAAAUCACGUGCCGUUUGUCAUUGACCACUUCACGGGAACCGUGAGUACCUCUGAGAAUCUGGACUAUGAACUGAUGCCUCGCGUGUACACGCUGAGGAUCCGUGCGUCUGACUGGGGCUUGCCAUACCGCCGGGAAGUCGAAGUCCUCGCCACGAUUACUCUCAAUAACCUGAAUGACAACACACCCCUGUUUGAGAGGAUAAACUGUGAGGGGACCAUUCCCCGAGACCUAGGUGUGGGGGAGCAGAUAACCACCGUGUCUGCCAUUGACGCCGACGAGCUGCAGCUGGUCCGGUACCAGAUUGAAGCCGGAAAUGAGUUGGAUUUGUUUGGCUUAAACCCCAGCUCCGGUGUGCUGUCCUUAAAGCACUCCCUCACGGAUGGCUUGGGCGCAAAGGUUUCCUUUCACAGUUUGAGAAUCACAGCGACAGACGGAGAAAAUUUUGCCACGCCGUUAUACAUCAACCUAACGGUGGCUGCCAGUCGCAAGCCGGUCAACUUGCAGUGCGAGGAGACCGGUGUUGCCAAAAUGUUGGCAGAGAAACUCCUGCAGGCGAAUAAGUUACACAGUCAGGGGGACGUGGAGGAUAUUUUCUUUGAUUCUUACUCCGUCAAUACCCAUACUCCACAGUUCGGGGUUACUCUUCCAACUGGAAUUGAGGUAAAGGAGAACCUCCCGGUGGGUGCCAAUAUACUCUUCAUGAAUGCUACUGACCUUGACUCUGGCUUCAAUGGAAAGCUCGUCUAUGCUAUUUCUGGAGGGAAUGAUGAUAGUUGCUUUACCAUCGACAUGGAAACGGGAGUGCUGAAAGUCCUGUCUCCACUUGACCGUGAAGUAAUGGACAAAUACACCCUGAAUAUUACCGUGUACGACCUCGGUAUACCCCAGAGGGCUGCCUGGCGCCUUCUGGACGUCACGGUUCUGGAUGCCAAUGACAAUGCGCCCGAGUUUUUACAGGAGAGCUAUUUUGUGGAAGUGAGUGAAGACAAGGAGGUGAACAGUGAAAUCAUCCAGGUCGAAGCCACUGAUAAAGAUCUGGGCCCCAGCGGGCAUGUGACCUACGCUAUUCUCACAGAUACGGAGAAGUUUUCCAUCGACAGCAUGACCGGUGUGGUGAAAAUUAUCCAGCCUUUGGAUCGUGAAGUGCAACCUGUGCAUUACCUAAAGAUCGAGGCCAGGGACCAAGCCACAGAGGAACCCCGGUUGUUCUCCACCGUGCUCCUGAAGGUGUCACUAGAUGACGUUAAUGACAACCCACCUAGGUUCAUCCCACCCAAUUACUCAGUGAAAGUUCGAGAAGAUCUACCAGAAGGAACCAUCAUCAUGUGGUUAGAAGCCUAUGAUCCCGAUGUGGGUCAGUCAAGUCAGGUGAGAUACAGCCUCCUGGAUCACGGAGAAGGCCACUUUGAUGUGGAUAAACUCAGCGGCGCAGUUAGAAUUGUCCAGCAGCUGGACUUUGAGAAGAAGCAACUGUAUAAUCUCACCGUGAGGGCCAAAGACAAAGGGAAGCCCGUGUCCCUGUCUUCCACUUGCUAUGUGGAAGUGGAGGUCGUUGACGUGAAUGAGAACCUACACACUCCGGUGUUCUCCAGCUUUGUGGAGAAGGGUGUAGUGAAAGAAGACGUCCCUACUGGCUCAUCAGUCAUGACCGUGUCAGCUCACGACGAAGACACAGGCAGAGACGGAGAGAUCCGGUAUUCCAUUAGAGAUGGCUCUGGAAUUGGUGUCUUCAGGAUAGAUGAAGAAACAGGUGUUAUAGAGACUUCAGACCGACUGGAUAGAGAGUCGACUUCCCACUACUGGCUCACGGUCUAUGCCACAGAUCAGGGCGUGGUGCCUCUGUCGUCCUUCAUAGAGGUCUACAUAGAGGUGGAGGAUGUCAAUGACAACGCGCCACAGACAUCAGAACCCGUGUACUAUCCAGAAAUCAUGGAAAACUCACCCAAGGAUGUAUCUGUGGUCCAGAUUGAGGCUUUUGACCCGGAUUCUAGCUCCAAUGACAAACUGACAUACAGAAUUACAAGCGGGAACCCUCAAGGAUUCUUCUCAAUACAUCCUAAGACAGGUCUCAUCACAACCACGUCGAGGAAGCUGGACCGAGAACAGCAGGACGAGCACAUUCUAGAAGUUACUGUGACAGACAACGGUGUUCCCCCCAGAUCCACCAUUGCCAGAGUCAUCGUGAAAAUCCUCGAUGAGAACGACAACAGGCCUCAAUUCCUUCAGAAGUUUUACAAAAUCAGGCUCCCAGAGCGGGAAAAGGCGGACGGGGACCGGAGCGCUUCGAAGCGCGAGCCCCUCUACCGCGUCAUAGCCGCGGAUAAGGACGAGGGGCCCAAUGCGGAGCUCUCCUACAGCAUCGAGGAAGGCAACGAGCACGGCAGGUUCUCCAUCGAACCCAAAACGGGAGUGGUCUCGUCCAAAAAGUUUUCUGCGGCCGGAGAAUAUGACAUUCUUUCCAUUAAGGCAGUUGACAACGGGCGCCCCCAGAAGUCGUCCACCACCAGGCUCCAUAUCGAGUGGAUCUCCAAACCCAAGCCGUCCUCGGAGCCGAUUUCGUUUGAGGAAUCGGUUUUCUCAUUUACCGUAAUGGAAAGUGAUCCGGUGGCUCACAUGAUCGGCGUGAUCUCAGUUGAGCCCCCUGGCAUGCCUCUGUGGUUUGACAUCAUCGGAGACGCGCUUGCUAGAGAAGUGUUUUACAUCUUUCAGCUGACUUGUGACCCGAACUGUACAGCAGAAGGUGGCAACUAUGACAGCCACUUUGAUGUGGACAAGGGCACCGGAACUAUCAUCGUUGCUAAGCCCCUUGAUGCAGAACAGAAAUCCAGCUAUAACCUCACCGUGGAGGCAACAGAUGGGACCACCACGAUCCUCACCCAGGUCCUCAUCAAAGUAAUAGAUACCAAUGACCACCGCCCCCAGUUUUCUACAUCGAAAUACGAAGUUGCUGUUCCUGAGGACACAGAGCCAGAAGUGGAGAUUCUGCAGAUCAGUGCAGUAGAUAGGGAUGAGAAAAACAAGUUGAUCUACACUCUGCAGAGCAGCAUCGAUCCAGCCAGCCUCAAGAAAUUCCGCCUCGAUCCCGCAACAGGCGCUCUUUACACUGCUGAAAAGCUUGACCAUGAAGCCAUUCACCAGCACGUUCUCACGGUCAUGGUCCGGGAUCAGGAUGUCCCUGUGAAACGAAACUUUGCCAGGAUUGUUGUCAAUGUCAGUGACAAGAAUGACCACGCACCGUGGUUCACCAGUCCGUCCUACGACGGGCGGGUUUAUGAAUCGGCAGCCGUGGGCUCAGUUGUGCUGCAAGUGACAGCUCUGGACAAAGACAAAGGGAGGAACGCUGAAGUGCUCUACUCGAUCGAGUCAGGAAACAUUGGAAAUUCUUUUACAAUUGACCCCAUCUUGGGCUCUAUAAAAACUGCCAGAGAAUUGGACCGAAGUCACCAAGUAGAUUAUGAUUUAAUGGUAAAAGCUACAGACAAAGGCGAUCCACCUAUGAGCGAGAUGACCUCCGUGCGUAUCGCUGUCACUGUUGCUGACAAUGCCUCUCCCAAGUUCACAUCCAAAGAGUACUCUGCGGAGAUUAGUGAAGCCAUCAGGAUUGGAAGUUUUGUUGGGAUGGUCUCUGCACACAGCCAGUCAUCAGUGAUGUAUGAAAUAAGAGACGGAAACAUGGGCGACGCAUUUAACAUUAACCCGCAUUCCGGAAGCAUCAUCACUCAGAGAGCCUUGGAUUUUGAAACACUGCCCAUGUAUUCAUUGACAGUGCAAGGGACCAACAUGGCCGGUUUGUCCACCAACACAACGGUGGUGGUGCACGUGCGGGAUGAGAACGACAACCCGCCCGUUUUCACGCAGGCAGAAUAUUCAGGAUUCAUCAGCGAGUCAGCCUCCGUCAACAGUGUGGUGCUGACAGACAGGAACGUUCCGCUGGUGAUUCGAGCGACGGAUGCUGACAGGGAAUCCAAUGCUCUGCUCGUCUAUCAAAUCGUUGAGCCGUCCGUGCACAACUAUUUUGCUAUUGACCCCACCACCGGCGCCAUCCGUACAGUGCUGAGUCUGGACUAUGAAGAAACACAUGCUUUUCACUUCACCGUCCAAGUGCACGACAUGGGGACUCCUCGUCUGUUCGCCGAGUACGCAGCGAAUGUGACUGUGCACGUGAUCGACAUCAACGACUGCCCCCCUGUCUUCUCUAAGUCACUGUACGAAGUGUCUCUUCUCCUGCCGACAUACAGAGGCGUGAACGUCAUCACGGUGAACGCCACAGACGCUGACUCCAAGGCAUUCUCCCAGGUCAUGUACUCCAUCACUGAAGGCAACAUUGGGGAGAAGUUCUCAAUGGACCACAAGACUGGCACCAUCGCAAUACAGAACACGACUCAGCUACGAAGCCGCUAUGAGCUGACCGUCCGCGCCUCCGACGGCAGGUUCACAAGCAUGGCCUCCGUGAAAAUCAACGUAAAGGAGAGCAGAGAGAGUCCCCUCAAGUUUACCCAAGACGCCUACUCCGCAGUUGUGAAAGAGAACUCCACGGAAGCCAGAACGUUAGCUGUCAUCACUGCGAUAGGGAACCCACUCAAUGAGCCUUUGUUUUACCGCAUCCUCAACCCAGACCGCAGAUUUAAAAUCAGCCACACGUCGGGCGUGUUGUCCACCACCGGGAUACCGUUUGACCGUGAGCAACAGGAGACGUUUGACGUGGUGGUAGAGGUGACUAAGGAACACGAGCCGUCAGCGGUGGCCCACGUCGUGGUGAAAGUCACCGUCGAAGACCAGAAUGAUAAUGCUCCAGUGUUUGUUAACCUUCCCUACUACGCUGUGGUGAAGGUGGAUGCUGAGGUGGGCCACGUCAUUCGCUAUGUUACUGCCAUUGACAGAGACAGUGGCAGAAAUGGUGACAUACACUACUACCUUAAGGAGCAUCAUGACCACUUCCAGAUUGGACCUUCUGGCGACAUUUCUCUGAAGAAGCAGUUUGAGCAUGACACUUUAAAUAAAGAAUACCUUGUCACAGUGGUCGCCAAGGACGGAGGGAGUCCAGCUUUCUCUGCAGAAGUUCUGGUUCCCAUCACUGUCAUGAACAAAGCCAUGCCCGUGUUUGAAAAGGCUUUCUAUAGCGCUGAGAUCCCAGAGAACAUCCAGAUGCACAGCCCAGUGGUCCAUAUCCAAGCCAACAGCCCAGAAGGGCUGAAAGUGUUCUACAGUAUCACGGACGGAGACCCUUUUAGUCAGUUUACUAUUAACUUCAACACUGGGGUGGUAAACGUCAUAGCACCACUGGAUUUUGAGUCCCACCCAGCCUAUAAGCUAAGCGUGCGGGCAACUGACUCCCUGACGGGCGCUCACGCUGAAGUGUUUGUUGACAUCAUAGUGGAAGACAUCAAUGAUAACCCUCCUGUGUUUGUGCAGCCAUCUUACUCCACAACCCUGUCUGAAGCAUCUGUAAUUGGAACACCUGUCCUUCAAGUUCGAGCCACAGAUUCCGACUCGGAACCAAACAGAGGAAUUUCCUACCAGCUGAUUGGAAAUCACAGCAAAAGUCACGAUCAUUUUCACAUAGAUAGUAACACGGGGCUCAUUUCACUAGUGAGAGCUUUGGAUUACGAACAGUCCCAGCAGCACAGGAUCUUCGUAAGGGCUGUUGAUGGAGGGAUGCCCGCCCUGAGCAGUGACGUGGUCGUCACUGUGGCUGUCACCGACCUCAAUGAUAACCCACCUCUGUUUGAACAACAGGUUUAUGAAGCCAGAAUCAGCGAGCACGCCGCACACGGGCAUUUCGUGAUGUGUGUGAGAGCCUGCGAUGCAGACAGCUCAGACCUAGACAAGUUAGAGUACUCUAUUCUGUCUGGCAAUGAUCAUAAAAGCUUCAUCAUCGACAGGGAAACGGGAAUUAUCACGCUCUCCAACCUCCGCCGCCACACCCUGAAGCCGUUCUACAGCCUCAACGUUUCGGUGUCUGAUGGGGUUUUCCGGAGCUCGGCUCGGGUUAACGUAACUGUGAUGGGAGGGAAUUUGCACAGUCCUGUUUUUCACCAGAACGAAUACGAAGUGGAGCUAGCUGAAAACGCUCCCUUGCACACCCUGGUGGUCCAAGUGAAGGCAUCUGACAGAGAUUCUGGCAUUUACAGCCACGUAACUUACCACAUUGUAAAUGACUUUGCCAAAGACAGGUUUUAUGUGAAUGACAGAGGGCAGAUUUUCACUUUGGAGAAACUUGACCGAGAGACACCGGCGGAGAAAGUGAUCUCGAUCCGCUUGAUGGCUAAGGAUGCUGGGGGGAAGGUUGCUUUCUGCACCGUCAAUGUCAUCCUCACAGACGACAAUGACAACGCACCUCAGUUUCGCUCAACCAAGUACGAGGUGAACAUCGGGUCCAGCGCUGCCAAAGGGACGUCGGUCGUCAAGGUCUUUGCGAGUGACGCUGAUGAGGGAUCGAAUGCUGACGUCACCUACGCCAUUGAGGCGGAUUCUGAAAGUGUCAAGGAGAACUUGGAAAUCAACAAGCUGACUGGCCUGAUUACUACAAAGGAAAGUUUAAUAGGUUUAGAGAAUGAGUUCUUCACUUUCUUCGUUAGAGCCGUGGAUAGCGGGUCUCCGCCCAGAGAGUCUGUCGUUCCUGUCUAUAUUAAAAUACUUCCACCAGAAGUGCAGCUUCCUAGGUUCUCAGAGCCCUUUUAUACCUAUACCAUCUCAGAAGACACGCCCAUUGGAACAGAAAUUGACCUCAUCCGGGUAGAACAUGGCGGGGCUGUUCUUUACAUCCUUGUCAAAGGCAAUACUCCUGAGAGUAAUCGAGAUGAGUUCUUUGUGAUCGACAGGCAGAAUGGGAGACUGAAACUGGAGAAGAGCCUUGACCAUGAGACCACUAAGUGGUAUCAGUUUUCCAUCCUGGCCAGAUGCACUCUUGAUGACUACGAGGUGGUGGCUUCUAUAGAUGUCAGUAUCCAGGUGAAAGAUGCUAAUGAUAACAGCCCAGUUUUGGAGUCCAGUCCCUAUGAGGCAUUUAUUGUUGAAAACCUGCCAGGGGGAAGCAGGGUCAUCCAGAUCAGAGCAUCUGACCUAGACUCAGGAGCCAACGGCCAAGUCAUGUACAGCCUAGACCAAUCCCAAGACGCAGACAUCAUCGAAUCUUUUGCCAUUAACAUGGAAACAGGCUGGAUUACAACUCUCAAGGAGCUUGACCACGAAGAGAGGGCCAGUUACCAGAUUAAAGUGGUCGCGUCGGAUCACGGUGAGAAGGUGCAGCUGUCUUCCACCGCCAUUGUGGGUGUUACCGUCACUGACGUCAACGACAGCCCGCCGAGAUUCACGGCUGAGAUUUACAAAGGGACGGUGAGUGAGGAUGACCCUCCAGGUGGCGUGAUCGCCAUCUUAAGCACGACCGAUGCUGACACUGAAGAGAUCAACAGACAGGUGUCAUACUUCAUCACAGGAGGGGAUGCCUUGGGACAGUUUGCUGUGGAAAAUGUGCAGAGUGACUGGAGGGUGUAUGUGAAGAAGCCCCUCGACAGGGAACAAAAGGAUAGUUACCUUCUGACUGUCACAGCAACAGACGGGACCUUCUCUUCCAAAGCUAGAGUUGAAGUCAAAGUUCUCGAUGCCAACGACAACAGUCCAGUCUGUGAGAAGACCUCGUAUUCUGAUACCAUUCCUGAAGACGCCCUUCCCGGGAAGCUGGUCAUGCAGGUCUCUGCCACAGACGCGGAUAUCCGGUCCAACGCAGAGAUUACUUACACUUUAUUUGGUUCAGGUGCAGAGAAGUUUAAACUGAAUCCAGACACAGGUGAACUGAGAACACUAGCCCUCCUUGAUCGUGAGGAACAAGCAGUUUAUAAUCUUCUAGUCAAGGCCACGGACGGAGGUGGGAGGUCCUGUCAGGCGGCUAUUGUGCUCACGUUAGAAGAUGUGAACGAUAAUGCUCCUGAGUUCACCGCGGAGCCCUACACCAUCACGGUAUUCGAGAACACAGAGCCUGGGACACCGCUGACCAGAGUGCAGGCCACUGAUGCAGACACAGGAUUGAAUCGGAAGAUUUCCUACUCGCUGGUCGAAUCCGCUGACGGGCAGUUCUCCAUUAAUGAGAGAUCUGGAAUUAUCCAGUUGGAAAAGCAUUUGGACAGGGAACUACAGGCAGUCUAUACUCUCACUUUGAAAGCAGUGGACCAAGGAUUGCCAAGGAGAUUGACAGCUACUGGCACGGUGGUUGUGUCUGUUUUGGAUAUAAACGACAACCCGCCAGUGUUUGAGUACCGUGAAUAUGGCGCCAGUGUGUCUGAGGACAUUGUCAUUGGGACGGAGGUUCUCCAGGUGUACGCCGCAAGUCGGGAUAUCGAGGCCAACGCGGAAAUCACCUACGCCAUCAUAAGUGGAAAUGAACAUGGAAAAUUCAGCAUCGAUUCUAAGACAGGGGCCAUAUUUAUCAUUGAGAGCCUGGAUUAUGAAAGCUCCCACGAGUAUUACCUGACCGUGGAAGCCACUGAUGGAGGCACGCCUUCGUUGAGUGAUGUGGCGACCGUGAACAUCAACGUCACAGACAUCAACGAUAACAGCCCCGUGUUCAGCCAAGACACCUACACCACCGUGGUCAGUGAGGAUGCGGCUCUCGAGCAGCCUGUCAUUACGAUUAUGGCUGACGAUGCUGAUGGCCCCUCAAACAGCCACAUCCACUACUCCAUUAUAGAGGGGAACCAGGGAAGUCCGUUCACAAUUGACCCUGUCAGAGGAGAAGUGAAAGUGACGAAGCCCCUAGACCGGGAAACGAUCUCAGGUUAUACACUCACGGUGCAAGCUGCCGACAACGGCAAUCCACCCAGAGUCAACACAACCACGGUGAAUAUCGAUGUCUCCGAUGUCAAUGACAACGCUCCCCUCUUCUCCAGAGACAACUACAGUGUCAUCAUCCAGGAGAACAAACCCGUGGGUUUCAGCGUUCUGAAGCUGGUAGUGACAGACAAGGACUCUUCCCACAACGGUCCCCCCUUCUUCUUCACUAUUGUGAGUGGAAAUGAUGAAAACGCCUUUGAGGUGAAUCAGCAUGGGGUCCUCCUGACAGCGGCGACGAUCAAGAGGAAAGUGAAGGACCAUUACCUUCUGCAUGUUAAGGUGGCUGACAGCGGAAAGCCUCAGCUGUCAUCCAUGACACACAUUGACAUCAGGGUGAUCGAGGAAAGCAUCCACCCUCCUGCCAUCUUGCCGCUGGAGAUUUUCAUCACCGCCUUUGGAGAGGAAUACUCAGGUGGGGUCAUAGGAAAGAUCCACGCCACCGACCAGGACGUGUAUGACACCUUGAUGUACAGUCUGGAUCCCCACAUGGAUGGCCUGUUCUCUGUCUCCAGCACGGGGGGCAAGCUGAUUGCACACAGAAAGCUGGACAUAGGCCAGUACCUUCUCAAUGUCAGCGUGACAGAUGGGAAAUUCACCACGGUGGCCGACAUCACCGUGCACAUCCAACAAGUGACCCAGGAGAUGCUGAACCACACCGUCGCCAUUCGCUUCGCGAAUCUCACCCCGGAGGAGUUUGUUGGUGACUACUGGCGCAACUUCCAGCGAGCCCUACGCAACAUCCUGGGCGUCCGGAAGAAUGACAUACAGAUCGUCAGCCUGCAGCCCUCCGAACCCCAUUCGCAUCUGGACGUCUUACUCUUUGUCGAGAGGUCAGGCGGCACCCACGUUUCAACAAAGCAACUUCUGCAUAAGAUUAAUUCUUCCGUGACGGACGUUGAGGAAAUCAUUGGCGUGAGGAUCCUGGAAGUGUUCCAGAAGCUCUGUGCGGGGCUGGAUUGCCCGUGGAAGUUCUGUGAUGAGAAGGUGUCUGUGGAUGAAAACGUCAUGUCCACUCACAGCACGGCCAGACUGAGUUUCGUGACUCCCCGACACCACAGAACAGCAGUGUGUCUCUGCAAAGACGGGACAUGCCCACCUGUCCACCAUGGGUGUGAAGAUAACCCCUGUCCCGCGGGAUCUGAGUGUGUCGCGGAUCCCCGAGAGGAGAAGUAUAGCUGCGUGUGCCCCGGGGGCGGCUUCGGUAAAUGCCCAGGGAGCUCAUCUAUAACUUUCACGGGAAACAGCUUCGUGAAGUACCGCCUGCUGGAGAAUGAGAACAGACUGGAGAUGAAGCUGAGCAUGCGUCUGAGAACCUACUCCUCCCACGCGGUUGUCAUGUACGCGCGAGGGACUGACUACAGCAUCCUGGAGAUUCAUACCGGAAGACUGCAGUACAAAUUUGACUGCGGAAGCGGCCCUGGGAUUGUCUCCGUCCAGAGCAUUCAGGUCAACGACGGGCAGUGGCACGCGGUGUCCCUGGAAGUGGAGGGCAAUUACGCCAAGCUGGUUCUGGAUGAAGUCCACACCGCUUCGGGCACAGCCCCGGGGGCUCUGAAAACCCUCAACCUGGACAACUACGUCUUUUUUGGUGGCCACCUCCGCCAGCAAGGGACAAAGCAUGGGCGAGGCGCCCAGGUGGCCAGUGGCUUCAGGGGCUGCAUGGAUUCUAUUUAUUUGAACGGGCAGGAGUUGCCUCUGAACAACAAGCCAAGAGCCUACGCGCACAUCGAAGAGUGGGUGGACCUAUCUCAUGGAUGCUUAUUGACCGCCACAGAAGACUGCUCCAGCAGCCCCUGUCAGAAUGGAGGCGUUUGCAAUCCCUCGCCUACUGGAGGUUAUUACUGCAAGUGCAGCGCGUUGUACGUAGGGACGUUCUGUGAGGUGAGCGUCAACCCGUGCUCCUCCAACCCCUGCCUCUACGGAGGAACGUGCAUGGUAGACAACGGCGGCUUUGUGUGCCAGUGCAGGGGGCUGUACACUGGUCAGAGAUGUCAGCUUAGUCCGUACUGCAAAGAUGAUCCCUGUAAGAAUGGUGGAACGUGUUUUGACAGUUUGGAUGGUGCUGUCUGUCAGUGUGACUCAGGCUUUAGGGGAGAAAGAUGUCAGAGUGACAUCGAUGAGUGUGCUGGGAACCCCUGUCGGAACGGGGCCCUUUGCGAGAACACACACGGCUCCUAUCACUGUAACUGCAGCCAGGAGUACAGAGGGAAGCACUGUGAGGAUGCCUCUCCCAACCACUACGUGUCCACCCCGUGGAACAUCGGACUGGCCGAGGGAAUAGGUAUUAUUGUGUUUAUAGCUGGGAUAGUCUUACUAGUGAUGGUGUUCGUCCUCUGCCGGAAGAUGAUCAGUCGGAAGAAGAAGCGCCAGGCUGAACCUGAAGACAAACGUUUGGGGCCAACCACGGCUUUCUUGCAGAGACCUUAUUUUGAUUCAAAGCUGAACAAGAACAUUUACUCCGACAUCCCGCCCCAGGUGCCGGUCCGUCCCAUUUCCUACACUCCCAGCAUUCCAAGCGACUCGAGAAACAACCUUGACCGCAAUUCCUUCGAAGGCUCCGCGAUCCCAGAGCAUCCAGAAUUCAGCACCUUCAACCCCGAGUCUAUGCACGGGCAUCGAAAAGCCGUGGCUGUGUGCAGCGUAGCUCCAAACUUGCCUCCACCGCCGCCUUCCAACUCGCCCUCAGACAGCGACUCCAUACAGAAGCCUAGCUGGGACUUUGACUACGACGCUAAAGUGGUAGAUCUGGAUCCCUGUCUCUCUAAGAAGCCCCUGGAGGAAAAGCCCUCCCAGCCAUACAGUGCCCGGGAGAGCCUGUCUGAGGUGCAGUCGCUUAGCUCCUUCCAGUCAGAGUCCUGUGAUGACAAUGCUCCCAUUUGGAUCAGAGCGUUCUGACUGAGAGCAGAGUUUAAGAGACGGCUACUUCCAUAGUGACUGUAAUACACCUUGUCAACGCUGUCGUUGACACGGUGAAUAAAGAAGAAUCUUUGGCUGCUCCUGACCUCAGCAAACCAAGAGGGUACCACUGGGAUACAUCAGACUGGAUGCCAAGUGUCCCUCUGCCAGACAUACAAGAGUUCCCCAAUUACGAGGCUAUUGACGAACACACACCCCUCUACUCGGCUGAUCCAAACGCCAUCGAUACUGACUAUUACCCUGGGGGUUAUGACAUUGAAAGUGACUUUCCACCCCCACCAGAGGACUUCCCUGCACCCGAUGAACUGCCACCAUUGCCUCCAGAGUUCAGCGACCAGUUCGAGUCCAUACACCCACCCAGGGACAUGCCUGCAGCAGGUAGCUUGGGAUCUUCCUCCCGGAGUCGGCAGAGGUUCAACCUGAAUCAGUACCUGCCCAAUUUCUACCCCGCCGAUAUGUCCGAACCUCAGAAACAAGGCGCUGGCGAGAACAGUCCAUGUAGAGAACCCUACACCCCCUACCCCCCAGGGUAUCAAAGAAACUUCGAAGCGCCCACCAUAGAAAACAUGCCCAUGUCCGUGUACGCCUCGACGGCUUCCUGCUCCGACGUGUCAGCGUGCUGUGAAGUGGAGUCUGAGGUCAUGAUGAGCGACUACGAGAGCGGGGACGACGGCCACUUCGAAGAGGUGACGAUCCCUCCGCUAGAUUCCCAGCAGCAUACGGAAGUGUGACGCUCAAACUCCUCCCCAAAGUGCCUGGACUUUCAUGAACCUAGAGAUGCUAUCGGUGACAUCCGCCGUUGUGUUGUUCUUUUGCAGCCGUCUGGGCCGCUUCUCGGUGAGCCGCGGUAGGCGUGGCUGCACGGAGUCACAAGCCUCUUGACAUGUUAGCCAUUUCCAGCGUCCUAACUGACUGUAAUCGACCGGGUUUUCAUCCCCUGUCCCAUCCCCUGAGCAUCUUUUCGUAUUUAGAUUUGUCUCUGUUAAAAUGAUGAAACGGAAAUCGGUCCUGUCGUCUUGUUAGCAUGAUUCAUGUAUUUAUAUAGAUCCGAUUAUUUUAAUUUUUGCUUUCUUUGUGUAAAUUUUAUGUACAGAUUUGAUUUUUUGUUUUUUUUUGUUUGUUUGUUUGUUUUCCCCCCUCUCCUAGUUUUUACCUAGGUUUUCAGGACGCCUCGUGUUUUUGUUUUCUGCUGGAUCUGUGUGGUGGUGUUAGCGUCGUUUGCCUAGCAUCUGAUUUUCUGAUGUAACCAGGGUUUCACGCUGUUCUUUUCCUCUGAAGUAUGACAUUUCAUUGACACAUUUCGGUCCAGUGUAGCUGUACAUAUGGGGUGUGGACGACCUGUUACUGGACAUGUCUUAUUAAAUGGGUUGCUGUAUUAGGAUUAUAAACAUUUUUCAUUAUUGGAAAGUGUGAAGGGGACCUUCUGCAUACCUGUUUAGAACCAAAACCACCACGACACGGUUUUUAUAGUGUCUGUAUAUUUGUGAUGCAAUGGUCUUGUAAAGGUUUUUACUGAAAACUAUCAUUAGCCAGCCUUUCUUACUGACAAUAAAUUAUUAAUAAAAUACUUUAGCUUUAA